rnacentral:rRNA from 1 species
AGUGAACGCUGGCGGCGUGCUUAACACACGCAAGUCGAACGAGAACGGAAUAUAGCUUGCUAUAUUUGUCAGCUAAGUGGCGCACGGGUGGGUAAUGUAUAGAUAACCUGCCCUUAAGAAAGGAAUAACAGUUGGAAACGACUGCUAAUGCCCUAUAUGCCUUUAAUACAUAAGUAUGCAAGGGAAACGCUUUAGUGCUUAAGGAUGGGUCUGUAUGGUAUCAGCUUGUUGGUGAGGUAAUGGCUCACCAAGGCUAUGACGCCUAACUGGUUUGAGAGGAUGAUCAGUCACACUGGAACUGAGACACGGUCCAGACUCCUACGGGAGGCAGCAGUGGGGAAUAUUGCACAAUGAACGAAAGUCUGAUGUAGCAACGCCGCGUGGAGGAUGACACAUUUCGGUGCGUAAACUCCUUUUAUAUAGGAAGAUAAUGACGGUACUAUAUGAAUAAGCACCGGCUAACUCCGUGCCAGCCGCCGCCGUAA